rnacentral:rRNA from 1 species
GACGAACGCUGGCGGCGUGCUUAACACAUGCAGGUCGAACGGAAAGGCCCUGCUUUUGUGGGGUGCUCGAGUGGCGAACGGGUGAGUAACACGUGAGUAACCUGCCCUUGACUUUGGGAUAACUUCAGGAAACUGGGGCUAAUACCGGAUAGGAGCUCCUGCUGCAUGGUGGGGGUUGGAAAGUUUCGGCGGUUGGGGAUGGACUCGCGGCUUAUCAGCUUGUUGGUGGGGUAGUGGCUUACCAAGGCUUUGACGGGUAGCCGGCCUGAGAGGGUGACCGGCCACAUUGGGACUGAGAUACGGCCCAGACUCCUACGGGAGGCAGCAGUGGGGAAUAUUGCACAAUGGGCGGAAGCCUGAUGCAGCAACGCCGCGUGCGGGAUGACGGGCCCUUUCGGGUUGUAAAA